rnacentral:rRNA from 1 species
UACGUAGGGUCCGAGCGUUGUCCGGAAUUAUUGGGCGUAAAGAGCUUGUAGGCGGUUUGUCGCGUCUGCUGUGAAAAUCCGGGGCUCAACCCCGGACUUGCAGUGGGUACGGGCAGACUAGAGUGUGGUAGGGGAGACUGGAAUUCCUGGUGUAGCGGUGAAAUGCGCAGAUAUCAGGAGGAACACCGAUGGCGAAGGCAGGUCUCUGGGCCACUACUGACGCUGAGAAGCGAAAGCAUGGGGAGCGAACAGGAUUAGAUACCCU